rnacentral:rRNA from 1 species
CUUCUGCCGUUUUGGAUUUAACCGAAGAUGAUUUCGAUUUUCUGACGAGUAACAAAGUUUGGAUUGCUACUGACCGCUCUCGUGCUCGUCGCUGCGUUGAGGCUUGCGUUUAUGGUACGCUGGACUUUGUAGGAUACCCUCGCUUUCCUGCUCCUGUUGAGUUUAUUGCUGCCGUCAUUGCUUAUUAUGUUCAUCCCGUCAACAUUCAAACGGCCUGUCUCAUCAUGGAAGGCGCUGAAU